AGAUUCUACUGAUAGUGAGCUACAAAUUAUUUUAAUCACUCCUAAGUAAUGGAACCAGUCCUGUGAUGACUGAGUGAGGGACGUCACCUCUCAGCAUUACUCUUACCAAACACCAUUAAUACAUGUACCAAUGAAUAUAUACAACCCCACCAAGGCUGGAACAUUUAAAAAAUACUAACAAGGAUGAUUUGUGUCUGGGUUUGAUAACUAAAGCCUCAUCACAUGAAACAAGAGUACGUUAAGCAAAUGAUCCAUCCAUUCCAGUGGACUCUUGGUUGCUAACAGAAAACAAUAAAAGCACAGUUAAAAGCACAGAACAACACAGGGAGCCCAGACUAAAAUAACCAUAACAAUAGCAAACUGCACCAAAGGCCCCACAGACACAUUACCUCAGCCCUGAGACCAAAGCCAGGUCUUAAGGGCUUUUUGGAACUUAGGAGAGAGGUUGCCAUCUGUAUCUCUGGGCGGAUGCUGUUCCAGAGGGCAGGGGCCAUGACUGAGAAAGGAUGCUUCCUUGGUUCCAUAAGAUGACAACAUUUAAUAGAAGGGAUCCGGAACAUAUCUAUUCUGCUGGAACAUACCGGGUGGGUAGAAACAAUUGGAGAUAGGCCGUACCUCAAAUAUCCAGGCCCUAUGUCAUGAAGGG